CACAUGCAAGUCGAGCGGCAGCGGGAAGAUAGCUUGCUAUCUUUGCCGGCGAGCGGCGGACGGGUGAGUAAUGCCUAGGGAUCUGCCCAGUCGAGGGGGAUAACAGUUGGAAACGACUGCUAAUACCGCAUACGCCCUACGGGGGAAAGGAGGGGACCUUCGGGCCUUCCGCGAUUGGAUGAACCUAGGUGGGAUUAGCUAGUUGGUGAGGUAAUGGCUCACCAAGGCGACGAUCCCUAGCUGUUCUGAGAGGAUGAUCAGCCACACUGGGACUGAGACACGGCCCAGACUCCUACGGGAGGCAGCAGUGGGGAAUAUUGCACAAUGGGGGAAACCCUGAUGCAGCCAUGCCGCGUGUGUGAAGAAGGCCUUCGGGUUGUAAAGCACUUUCAGUAGGGAGGAAAGGUAAUAACUUAAUACGUUAUUACUGUGACGUUACCUACAGAAGAAGGACCGGCUAACUCCGUGCCAGCAGCCGCGGUAAUACGGAGGGUCCGAGCGUUAAUCGGAAUUACUGGGCGUAAAGCGUGCGCAGGCGGUUUGUUAAGCGAGAUGUGAAAGCCCCGGGCUCAACCUGGGAAUUGCAUUUCGAACUGGCGAACUAGAGUCUUGUAGAGGGGGGUAGAAUUCCAGGUGUAGCGGUGAAAUGCGUAGAGAUCUGGAGGAAUACCGGUGGCGAAGGCGGCCCCCUGGACAAAGACUGACGCUCAGGCAC
rnacentral:rRNA from 1 species